UACGAACUGUGCAAACGUUAUUCGGAAUCACUGGGCUUACAGGGUGCGUAGGCGGCCUGACAAGUAGGGUGUGAAAGCCCCCGGCUCAACCGGGGAAUGGCGCCCUAAACUGUCGGGCUGGAGUGAGAUAGGGGUGUGCGGAACUUCCGGUGGAGCGGUGAAAUGUGUUGAUAUCGGAAGGAACGCCGGUGGCGAAAGCGGCACACUGGAUCUCAUCUGACGCUGAGGCACGAAAGCCAGGGGAGCGAACGGG
rnacentral:rRNA from 1 species